rnacentral:rRNA from 1 species
GUAGGAAUACCCGCUGAACUUAAGC